AGGCCUUGAGGUGUGCCCAUGAGGGCAGUGCACGUGAUGGUAACUUCUUGUGGGUGUUUGGUUGUAGUUGUGGACACAGAGAGUGCUCUUUCAGCCCCUGAGCGAGGGGCAGAUACCGUGCUGACUCCGAGCUGGUACCUCAAGCGGAUGAAGGAUGACAAGGUUCCUGAAGAGUUCCCUGAAGGAUUGCCGGAUGUUCCAGAGGAGCUCCUGGCAGCCUUGCAUGAAGCCCCAUCUGAGACAGAUUCUGAGACUGUGCCGGAGACCUUAGCUGUGGAAGAAAGUGACAGUGUGCCAGGCUCACAUGAAAAAAGAGAACCAACAGAGGACACCAGGACACUUGCUGAGCCUGA